CGGGUACUGCCUCGCACGUUAGAAUCUAGGACCCAGGGGCCGUAAUCAGACCUCAACGGGAGCUGUCUCUGGCCCGGACCGUGGUCCGGAUCAUAUGGCGCCCACCUGCUUAAGCAGGCCCGUGAGGAUCCGUAGUUCGACGGCAUGGUGGUCCCGCC
rnacentral:other from 1 species